UGACCUACGGGACGCAGCAGUGGGGAAUAUUGCGCAAUGGGCGAAAGCCUGACGCAGCGACGCCGCGUGAGGGAUGAAGGCCCUACGGGUCGUAAACCUCUUUUGCCGGGGAGCAAGGGCGGGGACGUGUCCCGGCCCGGAGAGUACCCGGAGAAAAAGCAUCGGCUAACUCCGUGCCAGCAGCCGCGGUAAUACGGAGGAUGCGAGCGUUAUCCGGAUUUAUUGGGUUUAAAGGGUGCGUAGGCGGGCUUUUAAGUCAGCGGUAAAAAUUCGGGGCUCAACCCCGUCCGGCCGUUGAAACUGGG
rnacentral:rRNA from 1 species